GAUGAAGAACGUAGCGAAAUGCGAUAAGUAAUGUGAAUUGCAGAAUUCAGUGAAUCAUCGAAUCUUUGAACGCACAUUGCGCCCGCCAGUAUCCUGGUGGGCAUGCCUGUUCGAGCGUCAUUUCAACCAUCAAGCCCCCGGCUUGUGUUGGGGACCUGCGGCUGCCGCAGGCCCUGAAAUGCAGUGGCGGGCUCGCUGUCACUCCGAGCGUAGUAGUUACAUCUCGCUCUGGGCGUGCUGCGGGUUCCGGCCGUUAAAAGCCUUAUUUACCCAAGGUUGACCUCGGAUCAGGUAGGAAGACCCGCUGAACUUAAGCAUAUCAAUAAGCGGAGGA
rnacentral:misc_RNA from 1 species